rnacentral:rRNA from 1 species
UACGAAGGGUGCAAGCGUUGUUCGGAAUUACUGGGCGUAAAGCGCGCGUAGGCGGCUUGAUAAGUUGGGAGUGAAAUCCCGGAGCUCAACUCCGGAAUUGCUUUCAAAACUGUCAAGCUGGAGUAUGGUAGGGGACAGUGGAAUUCCUAGUGUAGAGGUGAAAUUCGUAGAUAUUAGGAAGAACACCAGUGGCGAAAGCGACUGUCUGGGCCAUUACUGACGCUGAGGCGCGAAAGCGUGGGGAGCAAACAGG